AGCUAGCCCCGGGUGAAGCAGGUACCCUGUAGGGUUGAGGAACGAAGCCCGAAGCGUACUGCGAAACACGGGAACAUAC
rnacentral:sRNA from 1 species